rnacentral:rRNA from 1 species
GCACAAGCAGCGGAGCGUGUGGUUUAAUUCGAUGAUACACGAAGAACCUUACCCAGGCUUGACAUGUUGGUAGUAGGGAUCCGAAAGGUGACCGACCCUUCGGGGAGCCUUCACAGGUGCUGCAUGGCUGUCGUCAGCUCGUGGCGUGAGAUGUCCGGUUAAGUCCGGUAACGAGCGCAACCCUCGCUGUGUGUUAUAUGUGUCACACGGGACUGCCGGUAUCAAGCCGGAGGAAGGUGGGGAUGACGUCAAGUCAGCAUGGCCUUUAUAUCCUGGGCUACACACACGCUACAAUGGCCAGCACAGUAGGUUGCUAAGCCGCGAGGUGGAGCCAAUCCAUAAAGCUGGUCUCAGUUCAGAUUGCAGGCUGCAACCCGCCUGCAUGAAGAUGGAGUUGCUAGUAACCGCAGGUCAGCUAUACUGCGGUGAAUACGUUCCCGGGGCUU